UACAGAGGGUGCGAGCGUUAAUCGAAAUGACUGGGCGUAAAGGGUGCGUAGGUGGUUGUUUAAGUUAGGUGUGAAAGUCCUGGGCUUAACCUGGGGAUUGCGCCUAAUACUGAGUAGCUAGAGUACUGUAGAGGAAAGUGGAAUUUCCGGUGUAGCGGUGAAAUGCGUAGAUAUCGGAAGGAACAUCAGUGGCGAAGGCGACUUUCUGGACAGAUACUGACACUGAGGCACGAAAGCAUGGGGAGCAAACAGG
rnacentral:rRNA from 1 species